CUGCGAAAGCCGGAUUAAUACCGCAUACGACCUGAGGGAGAAAGCGGGGGAUCUUCGGACCUCGCGCUAGAGGGGCGGCCGAUGGCAGAUUAGCUAGUUGGUGGGGUAAAGGCCUACCAAGGCGACGAUCUGUAGCUGGUCUGAGAGGACGACCAGCCACACUGGGACUGAGACACGGCCCAGACUCCUACGGGAGGCAGCAGUGGGGAAUUUUGGACAAUGGGCGCAAGCCUGAUCCACCAAUGCCGCGUGUGUGAAGAAGGCCUUCGGGUUGUAAAGCACUUUUGUCCGGAAAGAAAACUUCGGGGCUAAUACCCCUGGAGGAUGACGGUACCGGAAGAAUAAGCACCGGCUAACUACGUGCCAGCAGCCGCGGUAAUACGUAGGGUGCGAGCGUUAAUCGGAAUUACUGGGCGUAAAGCGUGCGCAGGCGGUUUGCUAAGACCGAUGUGAAAUCCCCGGGCUUAACCUGGGAACUGCAUUGGUGACUGGCGAGCUAGAGUAUGGCA
rnacentral:rRNA from 1 species